GACGAACCGUGCGAACGUUGUUCGGAAUCACUGGGCUUAAAGGGCGCGUAGGCGGGCGGCCGCGUCCGGGGUGAAAUCCCACGGUUCAACCGUGGAACGGCCUCGGAUACGGGCGGCCUCGAGGGGGGUAGGGGCAUCUGGAACUGUGAGUGGAGCGGUGAAAUGCGUUGAUAUUCACAGGAACUCCGGUGGCGAAGGCGAGGUGCUGGACCCCAUCUGACGCUGAGGCGCGAAAGCCAGGGGAGCGAACGGG
rnacentral:rRNA from 1 species